rnacentral:rRNA from 1 species
ACAACGUAACAAGGUCUCCGUUGGUGAACCAGCGGAGGGAUCAUUAUAGAGUAGUUUUUACAACAACUCCAAACCCAUGUGAAUUUACCUAUGUUGCCUCGGCGGGGGAACCUACCCGGUACUCCCCGCCGAUGGACCAUUAAACUCUGUUUAUUUUGUAACUUCUGAGUGUUUAAACUUAAUAAGUUAAAACUUUCAACAACGGAUCUCUUGGUUCUGGCAUCGAUGAAGAACGCAGCGAAAUGCGAUAAGUAAUGUGAAUUGCAGAAUUCAGUGAAUCAUCGAAUCUUUGAACGCACAUUGCGCCCAUUAGUAUUCUAGUGGGCAUGCCUGUUCGAGCGUCAUUUCAACAAUCAAGCCCUAUUUGCUUGGCGUUGGGAGCGUAACCUGCCUGGCAGGAUACCUCCUCAAAUAUAUUGGCGGAGUCGCGAAGACCCCAAGCGUAGUAAUUCUUCUCGCUUCUGGUGUGUCGGCGCUGGCAUUCAGCCAUUAAACCCCUAAUUUUUUAGUCUUGACCUCGGAUCAGGUAGGAAUACCCGCUGAACUUAAGCAUAUCAAAGGUGGGAGGAACA